CCUACGGGUGACAGCAGUGGGGAAUAUUGCACAAUGGGGGGAACCCUGAUGCAGCGACGCCGCGUGGGUGAGGAAGUACUUCGGUAUGUAAAGCCCUAUCAGCAGGGAAGAAAAUGACGGUACCUGACUAAGAAGCCCCGACUAACUACGUGCCAGCAGCCGCGGUAAUACGUAGGGGGCAAGCGUUAUCCGGAUUUACUGGGUGUAAAGGGAGCGUAGACGGCGUGCCAAGUCUGAUGUGAAAGGCCGGGGCUCAACCCCGGGACUGCAUUGGAAACUGGCGGGCUAGAGAGCAGGAGAGGGCGGUGGAACUCCAUGUGUAGCGGUAAAAUGCGUAGAUAUAUGGAAGAACACCAGUGGCGAAGGCGGCCGCCUGGCCUGUUACUGACGCUGAGGCACGAAAGCGUGGGGAGCAAAUAGGAUUAGAUACCCUUGUAGUC
rnacentral:rRNA from 1 species